rnacentral:rRNA from 1 species
UUUUUCGGAAANANCCGCCGAACGGGUGAAUUAACGCGUGGGUAAACCUGCCCCUGUACNCCCCGGAUUAACUUCCCGAAAAGGUAUACUAAUACGGGAUAAACAUNCGAAAAGUCGCAUGGCUUUUGUAUNCAAAGCUCCGGCGGUACAGGAUGGACCCGCGUCUGAUUAGCUAGUUGGUAAGGUAAUGGCUUACCAAGGCAACGAUCAGUAGCCGACCUGAGAGGGUGAUCGGCCACACUGGAACUGAGACACGGUCCAGACUCCUACGGGAGGCAGCAGUGGGGAAUAUUGCACAAUGGGCGAAAGCCUGAUGCAGCAACGCCGCGUGAGCGAUGAAGGCCUUCGGGUCGUAAAGCUCUGUCCUCAAGGAAGAUAAUGACGGUACUUGAGGAGGAAGCCCCGGCUAACUACGUGCCAGCAGCCGCGGUAAUACGUAGGGGGCUAGCGUUAUCCGGAAUUACUGGGCGUAAAGGGUGCGUAGGUGGUUUUUUAAGUCAGAAGUGAAAGGCUACGGCUCAACCGUAGUAAGCUUUUGAAACUAGAGAACUUGAGUGCAGGAGAGGAGAGUAGAAUUCCUAGUGUAGCGGUGAAAUGCGUAGAUAUUAGGAGGAAUACCAGUAGCGAAGGCGGCUCUCUGGACUGUAACUGACACUGAGGCACGAAAGCGUGGGGAGCAAACAGGAUUAGAUACCCUGGUAGUCCACGCCGUAAACGAUGAGUACUAGGUGUCGGGGGUUACCCCCCUCGGUGCCGCAGCUAACGCAUUAAGUACUNCCGCCUGGGAAGUACGCUCGCAANGAGUGAAACUCAAAAGGAAUUGGACGGGGACCCGCACAAGUAGCGGAGCAUGUGGUUUAAUUCGAAGCAACGCGAAGAACCUUACCUAAGCUUGACAUCCCACUGACCUCUCCCUAAUCGGAGAUUUCCCUUCGGGGACAGUGGUGACAGGUGGUGCAUGGUUGUCGUCAGCUCGUGUCGUGAGAUGUUGGGUUAAGUCCCGCAACGAGCGCAACCCUUGCCUUUAGUUGCCAGCAUUAAGUUGGGCACUCUAGAGGGACUGCCGAGGAUAACUCGGAGGAAGGUGGGGAUGACGUCAAAUCAUCAUGCCCCUUAUGCUUAGGGCUACACACGUGCUACAAUGGGUGGUACAGAGGGUUGCCAAGCCGCGAGGUGGAGCUAAUCCCUUAAAGCCAUUCUCAGUUCGGAUUGUAGGCUGAAACUCGCCUACAUGAAGCUGGAGUUACUAGUAAUCGCAGAUCAGAAUGCUGCGGUGAAUGNGUUCCCGGGUCUUGUACACACCGCCCGUCACACCAUGGAAGUUGGGGGCGCCCGAAGCCGGUAGCUACCUUU